UAACUUGCAGCGCGAACUGUCAGACUUGAGUACACGCAGCGCAGGCGGAAUUCAUGGUGUAGCGGUGAAAUGCUUAGAUAUCAUGAGGAACUCCGAUCGCGAAGGCAGCCUGCGGGAGUGUUACUGACGCUUAAGCUCGAAGGUGCGGGUAUCGAACAGGAUUAGAUACCCUGGUAGUCCGCACAGUAAACGAUGGAUGCCCGCCGUUGGCGCCCUGCGCCUGCGGCCAAGCGAAAGCAUUAAGCAUCCCACCUGGGGAGUACGCCGGCAACGGUGAAACUCAAAGGAAUUGACGGGGGCCCGCACAAGCGGAGGAACAUGUGGUUUAAUUCGAUGAUACGCGAGGAACCUUACCCGGGCUUGAAUUGCAGUCGCUGCCCACAGAGACGUGGGCUUCCCUUCGGGGCGUCUGUGAAGGUGCUGCAUGGUUGUCGUCAGCUCGUGCCGUGAGGUGUCGGCUUAAGUGCCAUAACGAGCGCAACCCCCUUUCCCAGUUGCCAUCGGGUGAUGCCGGGCACUCUGGGGACACUGCCACCGCAAGGUGCGAGGAAGGUGGGGAUGACGUCAAAUCAGCACGGCCCUUACGUCCGGGGCUACACACGUGUUACAAUGGCCGGUACAGAGGGACGGUGCAAUGCAAGUUGCAUCCAAUCUUGAAAUCCGGUCCCAGUUCGGACUGGGGUCUGCAACCCGACCCCACGAAGCUGGAUUCGCUAGUAAUCGCGCAUCAGCCAUGGCGCGGUGAAUACGUUCCC
rnacentral:rRNA from 1 species